CCUCAGCCUCCCGAGUAGCUGGGACUACAGGCUCACAUCACCAUGCCCGCUAAUUUUUUUCAUUUUUUUUAUAGACGGGGUCUCACUAUGUUGCUCGGGCUGGUCUCAAAUUCCUGGCCUCCAGACAUCCUCCCACUUUGGCCUCCCAAAGUGCUGCCAUUACAGGCAUGAACUAGUGUGCCCAGCCCUGAUUUUUAAAUUUUGACUCAAUUUUCUUUUUCUAGAAUGUUUGGUGCCAGCUACUGCUUACCUGCUAGCAGUUGCAAGCAAAUAAAAUCAACAAACUGUAUUAGUCCUUUCUCAUACUGCUGUAAAGAACUGCCUGAGACUGGGUAAUUUAAGAAAAGAGGUUUAAUUGACUCACAGUUCAGCAUGGCUGGGGAGGCCUCAGGAAACUUACAAUCAUGGCAGAAGAUGAAGGGGAAGAAAGGCACCUUCUUCACAAGGCGGCAGGAAGGAGAAGUGCCGAGAGAAGAGGGAAGAGCCCCUUAUGAAACCAUGAGAUCUCAUGAGAACUCACUAUCAUGAGAACAACGUUGGGGGGAAACUGCCCCCAUGAAUCAAUUACCUCUACCUGGUCUCUCCCUUGACACAUGGGGAUUGUGGGGAAUACAGGGAUUAUAAUUCAAGAUGACAUUUGGGCAGGGACACAAAGCCUAACUAUAUUAUAAACAUGAAAAAUGACAAAAGAAAUCACACACAUGGUAUAGUAGAUGAAUAUUAAGAAAAAACUGGAGGUUGGGCACGGUGGCUCACGCCUGUAAUCCCAGCACUUUGGGAGGCUGAGGCUGGUGAAUCACCUGAGGUCAGGAGUUCAAGACCAGCCUGGCCAACAUGGUGAAACCCCGUCUCUACUAAAAAUACAAAAAUUAGCCAGGCAUGGUGGCACUCACCUGUAAUCUCAGCUACUUGAAAGGCUGAGGCAGGAGAAUUGCUUGAACCGGGGAGGCAGAGGUUGCAGUGAGCCGAGAUCAUGCCACUGCACUCCAGCCUGGGUGACAGAGGAAGAGUCCAUCUCAAAAAAAAAUAAAAAAAGACAGGACAGAGAGAGAGAGAGAGAAAACUGGAAACAGCUGAUUUUUGUGAAUUUGACAGUAUGGACUCGUUAUAGACUUGAGUACUUAUGGUUGUGAUUUUAUGUGGUAUACAUACAAUAUAGUUACACUUCCUAAUGGUUAAAUGAUCUCUACCUUAUGAAGACAGAAUUUGUUAUGCCUUGGAACGUUCUGCAUAGAGUACCAUGCCUUCUAGGUACUUUUCCGCAGAACACACAGAGAACCUCAGCCUAAUACACUGCCAGAAUAUUCCAUAACUAUGUGUUGAAAUGAGUUGCUUAGGCCUGGUGUGGUGGCUCACACCUGUAAUCCCAGCAUUUUGGGAGGCCGAGGCAGGCAGAUCACCUGAGGUCAGGAGUUUGAGACCAGCCUGGCCAACAUGGUGAAACCCUGUCUCUACGAAAAAUACAAAAGUUAGCCGAGCAUGGUGGUGCAUGCCUGUAGUCCCAGCUACUCCAGAGGCUGAGGUUGGAGAAUCGCUUGAACCUGGGAGACAGAGGUUGCAGUGAUCUGAGAUUGCAUGACUGUACUGUAGCCUGGGUGACACAGCAAGACCCCAUGUCAGAAAGAAAAAAAAGAAGGAAGGAAGGAAGGAAGGAAAGAAAGAAAGAAAAGAAAGAAAGAAAGAGAGAGAGAGAGAGAAAGAAAAGAAAGAAGGGAGGGAGGGAAGGAAGGAAGGAAGGAAGGGAAAAGAAAAGAAAAAGAAAAAAAGAAAUGAGUUGCUUAAUAUUCAAAGUUUUGGGGGAAACUAGAACCUCAAAAGUGCACUUAUGGAGAGACAAGGAGAGUAGGGAAGCGUAUGCCAAGCUCUUAUUUACUGAGCAAGUGUGUCCUGCAUGCCAGGAACUGGCCUUGGCACAACAUUCUCCCUAAUCCUCCCAGCAGCUCCCUACACCACCUGCCUCCUGGGGAGACAGGAUAAGUAAUCUCAUGGGUAGAGCUGGGCGCCUGUGGAUAAAAAACACUAGGCCGGACACAGUGGCUUACACCUGUAAAUCCCAGCACUUUGGAAAGCCGAGGUGGGAGGAUCACUUGAGCUCAGGAGUUCGAGACCAGCCUGGGCUGCGUGGUGAAACCCCAUCUAUACAAAAAAUUAGCCAGGCAUGGUGGUGCAUGCCUGUAGUCCCAGCUACCCAGGAGGCCGAUGUGGGAGGAUCACUUGAGCCUGGGAGGCGGAGGUUGCAUUGAGCUGAGAUCCAACCACUGCUCUCCAGCCUGGGCAACAGAGUGAGACCCUGUCUCGAAAAAAAAAAGAAGAAAGAAAAAGAAACACUGGACUUUGGGUUGAUUAUGCGUUGAGUUCAUAUGCUUUACAUGUCAAGAUCUAAAGCCUAAAAUGAAUCAGUAUAAAACCGUUUAUGAAUCCAUUUGUAACAAAAAGUAACUAGUGUUUUUAUUUUGUUUUGUUUGUCUAGUUGGAGGAAGGCCUUUGAGAGUAUCUUAUUGAAUGAUUGAGACAUUAUUAGCUAUACCAUAUUAGAUACUUGUACCCCUAGCCAGAGCUCAGCUGAGCCUGAAAUCAUAGUUCUGGACUUUUAUCUUAUCUGAAUUGGUCCUGUUUGGAGCGACCAAUCUUACACACACAUUUCAGCUUCAGAUAAAGUCAGAAAACUACAUCAGAAGGGUUAGUUCCGUUUUUGCUCUUCAGAAUUUGAUUGAUUUCCAAACUUACGUACUAAUUCUCUCGUGGGCCUUGCAUUAGGAAGGUUAAACCAAAGUAAAAUAAAACAUUUCUAGGGCUCUGUUUGUCUUCUCAAAAUGGUUAGUGCUGUGAUUGACUCCAGAAUCAGGCUUCAUCCUGGAGCAUCCAAAACUCAGGACCACCGUUUCCCGGGGACUCACGCUCAACCCCCCACACUGGGCCUGUGUACACCCCCAUCCACAGCCUCAGGAAGAAGGACCUUAAAGGUGGUCACAGAAGAAUUUACAAGCUGCUCUUAGGACUGGCUUUGUCUCAGUUGCACAUGAGCCAGAGCCACUUCUCCCAAUCAAAGGCUUCCAAGGAAAAACCAGAACAUGGUAGAUGGAUCUUCGCAACUGCUCCAAGGUCUUCCCCUCCAAAACCACAAAGCAGGCAGGUCUCCCUCCACAGGUGAAUGCUAUAUGAAUGGGUCCUGCAUUUGGCUCAGCAAGCAGCUCUCCGGCUCACAUCGG
rnacentral:lncRNA from 10 species